rnacentral:rRNA from 1 species
CACGUAGGGGGCGAGCGUUGUCCGGAUUUAUUGGGCGUAAAGAGCUCGUAGGCGGCUCGGUAGGUCGGGUGUGAAACCUCCAGGCUCAACCUGGAGACGCCACCUGAUACUGCUGUGGCUAGAGUCCGGUAGGGGAGUGUGGAACUCCUGGUGUAGCGGUGAAAUGCGCAGAUAUCAGGAAGAACACCAGCGGCGAAGGCGGCACUCUGGGCCGGAACUGACGCUGAGGGAGCGAAAGCGUGGGUAGCAAACAGG